GACGAACGCUGGCGGCGUGCUUAACACAUGCAAGUCGAACGGAAAGGCAGUGCUUUCGUGGGGUGCUCGAGUGGCGAACGGGUGCGUAACACGUGAGUAACCUGCCCUUGAUUUUGGGAUAACUUAAGGAAACUGGGGCUAAUCUCGGAUCGGAGCUCCUGCUGCAUGGUGGGGGUUGGAAAGUUUCGGCGGUUGGGGAUGGACUCGCGGCUUAUCAGCUUGUUGGUUGGGUAGUGGCUUACCAAGGCUUUGAAGGGUAGCCGGCAUGGGAGGGUGACCGGCGACAUGGGGACUAAGAGAGGGCCCAGUCUCCAACAGGAGGCAGCAGUGGGGAAUAUUGCACAGUGGGCGGGAGCCGGAGGCGGCAACGCCGCGUGCGGGAUGACGGCCUGCGGGGAGUAAACCGCUUUCGCCUGAGACGAAGCGGUAGUGACGGUAAUGAGUAAAGAAGCACCGGCUAACUACGUG
rnacentral:rRNA from 1 species